rnacentral:rRNA from 1 species
CCUACGGGAGGCAGCAGUGAGGAAUAUUGGUCAAUGGGCGCGAGCCUGAACCAGCCAAGUCGCGUGAGGGAAGACGGUCCUAUGGAUUGUAAACCUCUUUUGUCGGGGAGCAAAAGACGCCACGCGUGUCGUUCCGAGAGUACCCGAAGAAAAAGCAUCGGCUAACUCCGUGCCAGCAGCCGCGGUAAUACGGAGGAUGCGAGCGUUAUCCGGAUUUAUUGGGUUUAAAGGGUGCGCAGGCGGAAGAUCAAGUCAGCGGGAAAAUUGAGAGGCUCAACCUCUUCGAGCCGUUGAAACUGGUUUUCUUGAGUGAGCGAGAGGUAUGCGGAAUGCGUGGUGUAGCGGUGAAAUGCAUAGAUAUCACGCAGAACUCCGGUUGCGAAGGCAGCAUACCGGCGCUCAACUGACGCUCAUGCACGAAAGUGUGGGUAUCGAACAGGAUUAGAUACCCGAGUAGUC